AACGAACGCUGGCGGCAGGCUUAACACAUGCAAGUCGAGCGCCCCGCAAGGGGAGCGGCAGACGGGUGAGUAACGCGUGGGAAUCUACCUUUUGCUACGGGAUAACUCAGGGAAACUUGUGCUAAUACCGUAUGUGCCCUUCGGGGGAAAGAUUUAUCGGCAAAGGAUGAGCCCGCGUUGGAUUAGCUAGUUGGUGAGGUAAAGGCUCACCAAGGCGACGAUCCAUAGCUGGUCUGAGAGGAUGAUCAGCCACACUGGGACUGAGACACGGCCCAGACUCCUACGGGAGGCAGCAGUGGGGAAUAUUGGACAAUGGGCGCAAGCCUGAUCCAGCCAUGCCGCGUGAGUGAUGAAGGCCCUAGGGUUGUAAAGC
rnacentral:rRNA from 1 species